rnacentral:rRNA from 1 species
UACGAAGGGGGCUAGCGUUGCUCGGAAUCACUGGGCGUAAAGCGCACGUAGGCGGCUUUUUAAGUCAGGGGUGAAAUCCUGGAGCUCAACUCCAGAACUGCCUUUGAUACUGAGAGCUUGAGUCCGGGAGAGGUGAGGUGGAACUGCGAGUGUAGAGGUGAAAUUCGUAGAUAUUCGCAAGAACACCAGUGGCGAAGGCGGCUCACUGGCCCGGUACUGACGCUGAGGUGCGAAAGCGUGGGAGCAAACAGG